CCAAAAAGAUUUUUCGUUUGCAUCUUAUUGAGUCCCAAGUGUUUGUUGUGUUUUUUUACUUCCUAUUGUUUGUGUGUUAUUUUCUUUUGAAAGAAACCCAAAAAGAUUUAUUUUUUCCUUUCGUUCUUUUGAAGUUCUUUGAGAAAACAACAAAGAUAUUUCUUCGUUCUUUUUGCUUUUUCUUUGGUAGUUUAUUUGAUUUCGUCUUUGCUGAAACUUCGAAAAUCUUCUUUUUGCGCUCUUAUUUGCCUUCUUUGAGAAAAGAAAAAAAAUCCAAAAAUAUUUCUGAAGUGUUUUUUUGAGUUCUUUUUUGCCUUUUAUGUUUCAAAAAAUCCAAAAAUAUUUCUUUUUCUUUGUUCUUCUGUUUUCCAUUGUUUUCUUUAGGUUGUUCUUUUUGGCUUUUCUCUGUUGUUUUCUUUUUGUCGUUUCUUUCGUCUUUGUAUUUAAAUUGCAAAACCCAAACAUUCCAAAAAGAUUUCUCGAUUGCGUCUUAUUGAGUCCUAAUUGUUUCCAUUGUCUUUUGGUUAUUCUUUUGGGCUUUUCUUUGUUGUUUUCUUUUUGUCGUUUCUUUCGUCUUUGUGUCUAAUUGUAAAACCCAAAUAUUCCAGAAUGAUUCUUGUUUUCAUCAUAUGGAGUCUUAAUUGUUUGAAAUUUUUUUUGCUUCCUAUUUUUUUCUUUUGUUUGUUUGUUGUUUGCUAUUAAAAGAAACCCAAAAAGAUUUGAUUUCUUUAUCUUUUUAUUCUUUUGAUGUUAUUUGAUAAAACCACAAAAAUAUUUCCUCGUUCUUUUUUUCUUUUUUUUGGAUGUUUAUUUGAUUGCCUCUUUGUUUAUCUUUGAGAAAAGCCGAAAAUUCCAAAAUCAUUUCUAUGUGUUUCUCUUAGUUCUUCUUUGCCUUUUAUUUGUUAGAAAAUCCAAAAAUAAAAUAUUUUCUUUUGUUGAUCUUUUGUUUUCUUUUGAGUGUUCUUGGCAUUUUUUGAUGUUUUCUUUUUGAUGUUUCUUUCGUAUUUGUGUUUAAGUUGCACACGUUCAAAAAAAGUUGCAAAACCCAAAAAUUCCACAAUGAUUUCUUGUUUGAGUCUCAAGUGUUUGUAGUGUUUUUUUGCUUCCUAUUGCUUCUUUUGUUUUUUGUUCUUUGCUUUUAGAAGAAACCCAAAAAGACUUCUUUGUCCUUUUGUAGUUUUGUUCUUUUGAAGUUCUUUGAGAAAAUAAUAAAAUAUUUCUCCGUUCUUUUUGCUUUUCUUUUGGAUGUUUAUUUGAUUUCCUCUUUGUUGAAACUUUGGAAAUCUUUUAUCUUUGCUUCUCUUUGCAUUCCUGUUUGCCUUAUUUGAGAAAAAACAAAAAUUUCAAAUUAUUUUUGUUAUGUUUCUUUGAGUUCUUUGCCUUUUAUGAUUUAGAAAAUCCAAAAAUAUUUCUCUUUCGUUGUUCUUUUGUUUUCCUUUAUUUUUUUGGCUGUUCUUUUUGGCUUUUCUCUGUUGUUUUCUUUUUGUCGUUUCUUUCGUCUUUGCGUUUAUUUAUGUUGCAAACUUACAAAUUCAUUAAAGAUUUCUCGUUUAUGUCUUAUUGAGUCUUAAGUGUUGAAGUGAACCAAAAAUAUUUCUGAUUGGCUGUUAUGUGCUUUAUUGUUGAACUAAUGAAAAGACCAAAAAUAUUUCGCUUGUCUUCUCUUUUAUACAAAUUGUCCAGUAGUAAAACCUGCAAAACCUAUCGAUGGAGAACCAAAAGAAGCAGCUAGCAGACACUGAAGUCGCGUAAUCUCGAGUGUAGUGAGGAGCUCAACUGAAGAGGUUGACGAAGAAGCACAAGGCUAUGAGUAAAAAAAACCUAAAAGAAGUAGGUGUCGAAGUCGUGCAAUCUCUGUUCCUCGUCGAUCCGGUUUGGCGUCCUUCCCCUGGUUGCAGGUUCUGUGCCACGGACUUGAUGUUGCAUCCCAUGUUCCCUUUGGUGGCCCUUGGCCUCGGUGACAGGUAGCGUCGUGCACACAUCCUGCGGGAUAAGAGUAAUGUUGAGGAAAUCACUAUCUGGUAACUGCUCGCACAACUUGGGAGUAGUGAUUAAUCGUUGAAUCGGCCUAUUAACUGGAUUAACCGGUCAACCACUAAUUAGUGGAAUUUUCAACUCAAUAGAAGCAAAUUUUGUAUGGAGGGAAAAUCUACAUUGCAAAUAGGAGGCAAAUGGCACCGUUUUCUUUUCUCAAUAGACCACAAACAUGUAUACAGCAACAAUCAUCCAUGUGGGCAUCAAAAGUCAUCAACAAACAUGUAUACAACACCAUUUUUUGCUAAAUUCAGCCCGUGUCGCAACUCUAAGAGAUGGUGGCCUCCGUUAAGGGCAUCUGAACGGGUCGGUUGCCGUAGGUGGUACGUCACAAAGGUAUGUCACGAAGGAGGGGAAGUAGCGGUGCGUAGAGGGAGAAGAGGAAGCGGCGACACACAGGGGAGGAGGGGAAGUGGUAGCACGCCGCGAGGACUUGGUCAGCCGCCAUCUAGGUCGGGAGGGGAUGAAAGGAGCAAGAGGGGUGACAGGAGGGCUAAACCCUAGCUAUUUAGGAGCGGGAGGGUUUAUCGGCCAAAUAAUUGGGCUUUGUUUGCCCACAAGUUAACAUGCCAACAACGAUUAAUCAGCCUGACAAUAGAUUAGUCGGUCUAACCGACCAUUUAAUCGGUCUGGCAAGUUAACGCGAUGAAUAUGUGUUAUUCAAGUCGGCCACCCGAUGAGUAGCGAUUAACUGGCCAGUUAACCGAUUAAUCGGGUGAAUUCUUAAACAGUUGGUUAGACAUUGCGGUCCGGCUGCCCCUGCUCUUGCUUCGCCGAUAGGUGGUGCUCGUGCAUUCGGCUAUGGCGCCCACCAGGGGAACACGGGUUGUGGGGUCGAGACAGCGACAGAGCAACCCGUAGCCAGACAAAGGAUGCUCAACCGGAUUGACUGGGAGUGGGGCGUGCACGAGGGGUGUGGUGGAGGGGUGAAAAAGCCGUCGGGAGCGGACCGCCGCCGCCAUUUAGCUUUUGAACCUGGAGUUGAGCGGUGAGCGGAUGGCGACAGGGGAAGCGAGGAAGGCCGGAAGAGGGCAUCGGGAGGAGAAAGGCAUCAUCCACCCUACGUUUGCGUGUUAGCCGCGACGACGUGCGGUUGUGGGCAGAUCCGGUGUCUGCACGUGGAUCUACUACUCGGGAUGACAUGACAUGCUUGUUGAGUGAGGUGUCACAACUAUUGGGCCGUGUGGGUGGGUUUGGAGAGUCUGUGUUGUGCUCCAGUUAAGCCUUCAUGAAGAAACAGACCAAGUGUAAAUCAAAAGGCACAUAUUGAAGAGUAAUAAUAUGACCCUGCACUCUGGAGUGCAUGAAGGAGGCAUCGACAUUAAUAUGCUUGGUGAGCUCAUGCUUCAUAUGGUGAAGUGCAAUCCUGAUAGCAAAUAUACUGUUUGGUGUGACAAGAAAGGAGUAAUGUAGUGAUAGAAACACCAAAAUCCUCAAGGUCGUUAAUGAACGACACCGGGUUUGGAGAGAUGUGUCGUGCUUUGUCUGAGUCUUUGUGAAGAAACGAACCAAGCGUAAAUCGAAAGGCACAUACUAAAGAGCAAUUAUCUGAUCCUGCACAUUGGAGCACACAAAGGACAUCAACACCAAAAUCCUCAUCGUCUGACAAGAAAGGCGUGGGUCUAGUGACAAAAACACCAAAAUCCUCAAGCAACCAUCGUAACCAAGUCACCUCUGUUGUCAAUAGGGUUAUAGCUUGCAACUCAGCCUCUGCACUCAAAAGGGAAAAACACAAUCUGUUUCUUUGCCUUCCAGGCAAUGAGAAAACCAUUAAGAAAAACACAGUAAGUAGAAAGGGAUGAGCGAACUUGAGCAUAGGAUUAAGGGAGAGACGGUGAGAGGUAGUUCCACAAAGAUAUCGUAGAACAGGGGGGGAGGUGACUCAAGUGGAUGAAAGUGGGAAUAGAGACAAAUUGACUUAGAAUGAGAAUGUGAUAUGAAAUGUCUGGACGAGUGACAUCUAAAUAGACAAGACUCCCAACAAGAUGACGGUAGCGCGUCAGAUACAACAAAGGCUCAUUGUCGAAAGCACAAAGGUGGACGUUGAGCUCCAUGGGAGUGUCAACAGUGACCUUAUCUCUAAGAUCAUCACAAACAAGAAGAUAUUGAAUGUACUUCUCUUUGGGAAAUAAAGAAGCCAUCAGAGGUAGAAGAAACCUCAAUUCCAAGGAAGUAGCAAAGAGGACCAAUAUCAAAACAUAAAAACUAUUCACUAAGACGAACUUUCAAAAAGGCAAUGCACUUAGAGUUGUUGGCAGUGAUGGUCAUGUCAUCGACAUAUAGAAGCAACGUUCGACCUUGAGCUGAAAGAUGGAUAUAAAGUGUAGAUCAUGAGCAUUUGGCAAAAACUAGUCGCAGUCAUUGCUGAAACAAAACACUCAAAUCGGACGAUACGGGCUAAAGGCAUAGAGAGAGCGACGAAGACGCCAGAUCGUGCCAUCAGGAAAAAGAUAUCUAGGUGGUGGCUACAUGUAGACCCUCUGAUGCAACUCACAAUUAAGAAAGACAUUCUUAACAUCAAGCUAAGAGACAGAUCAAUGGCGAACAAAUAUCACAGCGAGAAGUGUGAGAAGAGUGGUCAUGUGGGCCAUAUGAGCAAAUGUUUCAUCUUAGUCAUAGCCAUGAUCCUGUUGAAAGCCACGGGUCACAAGACGAGCUUUCUUAUGCAAGAGAACCAUCAGAGUCUAAAUCUUGUAGACCCACUUACAAGAUACAAGUGAUGGGAUGAGCAUAGGGAGGAAGGGAAAUGAGACCCCACGUGCCGGUGCGUUCAAGAGCAACAAUCUCCUCUGCCAUCGCAUGUCGCCGUUCGGGAUGAACAUGGCGUCACGGUAUGUCGUAUUGAGAAGAGCAGCGCUAGAAUACCCAUAGCGAUCAAUAUGCUGAAGCGGGCGAGCGCAGAAGCCAUAAGUAGGUUGAGCUAGAGGCAGUGCAUUGCUAACAGAAGGAGAUAUAAUAGUCGAGGGAGAUGGCUGAUCGAAAGAUGACACAUUAGAAGAAUCCACAAGAUGUGGAUGACUAGUGCAGUAAAGAAGAGGAUUGGGGGGAAUCACGGGGGAAGUCUUAGGGAAUGAACGAGGUGGGGAAGCCGCAGGUGACGAUACGUGAGUGAUAGGACACAUCAACACGAUUAUGGUUGGUGAGUUCAUGCUUUUCAGAAUAGCGCGCAAUAUUGAUUGCAUUUGUACUGUCUGACAAAGGAGGAGUAGGUCUAGUGACAAAAACAUCAAAAUCCUAAAGCAACCAUCGUAACCAAGUCACCUCUGUUGUCAACAGAGGUAUAGCUUGCAACUUAGCCUUUGCACGCAAAGGGAAUAGCGCGGUCUGUUUCUUUGUCUUUCGGGCAAUGAGAAAACCAUCAAGAAAACACAGUAAGUACAAUGGGACGAACAAACUUGUGCAUAGGAAUAAGAGAGAGACGGUGAGGUAGUUCCACAAAGUGGAUUAAAGUGGGAGCAGAGACAAACUGACUUAGAAUGAGAACGUGAUUUGAAAUGUCUGGACGAGUGACAUCUAAAUACAAGACUCCCAACAAGAUGACGGUAGCGCGUCAGAUCAAACAAAGGCUCAUUGUCAGAAGCACAAAGGUGGACGUUGAGUUCCAUGGCAGUGUCAAUUAGCGAUCAAUAAGCGGAAGCGGGUGGGCGCAGAAGCCAUAAGUAGGUUGAGCUGGAGGAGGUGCGUUGUCAACAGAAGGAGACAUAGUAGUCGAGGGAGAUAGCUCAUUGAAAGAUGACACAUCAGAAGAAUCCAAAAGAUGUGGACGACUAGUGUAGUAAAGAAGAGGAUGAGGAUGAAUCACCGGGGAAGCCUUAGGGGACAAAUGAGGUGGGGAAGCCGUAGGUGAUGAUGACGUGGGGUCUACAAUAGUCGUAUAGGAAGACACAUUGGAAUGGAUGCACAAGGGCAAUAUAUGAGUGAUAGGUGUAUUGGCAAAAGCUAGGAAAGAAAUAUCCUCAAUGAGAGAGGCCAAAGGAGAGAAUCGACGUGGAUAGAAAGGACGAGGCUCAUCAAAAGUCGCACCCCGAGGAAUGCUUAAUCCGCCGAUCGAUAUGAUCCCAACACUGAUAGCCCUUGUGCUCAUCAGUAACCUAAGAAGACACAUUCAAUAUACUAAGUAGUCCUUUUGAGGGGCAAGAAGAACGUAUUAAACACAACAAAACAAAUGAAGCACUAAGUAGCCACAAGAACGACCAAAAAGACACUUGAGAGGAAUAUCGCCCUGCAAAGCAAGGAAGGCUGACUGUUGAUGAGGUAGGUGGAUGUACAAACAACCUCAACCCAAAAGUGAGGUGGAAGACAUGCGUUGAUCUUCAAUGCAUAAGCUGCCUCAAGAAGGUGACGAUGCUUAGCAAACAAUUCUUAGCAUCAGGACCAUGACAAGAGAACUAAGGAAGUGUGCCCUGCUCAGCAAGGAAUCCGCGCAACAAAUGAUUGAUAAACUCGCAAGCAAAAUCUGCAUGGAAGGCAUAGAUAGGAGUGGAAAAUUGGGUAUGAAGCAUGGCGGCAAACUUCUUACUGAUAGAUAAGACCUCACUAGAAGAAAAGCAUAAAAUAUAUCCAUGUGUGUCUAGAGAAAUCAUCUAUAAAGAUAAUAUAGUAGCGAUGUCCUCCUUUUGAGGCAAAGGGACCUGGACCCCAAACAUGGAAGUGAACAAGAUCGAAAGGACGAUGAAACACAAUCUCGCUAUGAGGAUAAUGUAACUUAACCUGUUUGCUAAGCCGACAAACCGACAGCCUAAAGACACACCGCCAGAGACAGAUCCAAGAAGACCACGUCGAACUAAGGAUGGGAGACUAGAGCCACACAAGUGACCAAGACGAUGAUGCCAAAAGAGCCGGUAAAUGAAGUAACCAAGGCAGAGAGACUGGCGGCGGUGGCAACAAAGGGAAGGUUAAGCCAGAUAAGCUCCCAGAGGACCUGGGAAUUACAAUGUUGAGGGCCAACACCAAGUAGAGAGGAUUCUAAUCAGAACAUGAACAUGACAAUCUGGACGUCGAAUGGCUGACAAACUGGAAGAAUCAUAAGUUAUAUGAAAAUUCUUCUAGUACCAGGGAUCCAUGGAGAUGUACCUGGUUGUGUAAAAAGUGGUCACUCGGUACAAGAAAAAUUAGUAGCAAAACCUGUUGAUGUUGAACCAAAAGAAGCCGCUAGUAGAUACUGAAGUCGCCUAACCUCUGGUGUAGUCAGGGUCUCAACUGGAGAAGUUGACAAAGAAGUACCGGGCAAUGCAACUAGAAGUAGGAAGUAGGUGUUCUGUUAAAGAUAAAAAACCCAAAAGUAUUUCUCGUUCUUCUUGUUUGGUUUCAUUUGGUUUUUUUAUCUCUUUCUUUUGUGUUCUUUAUGGUUUUUUUCCUCCUUAUUGUUUCUUUUGUUUAUUUGUUUGCUUUUACAAGAAACCACAAAACAUUUCUUUCUCGCUUUUUUCUUUUGAAGUUCUUUGAGAAAACAACAAAAAUAUUUCUUCGUUCUUUUUUUACUUUUUCUUUGGAAGUUUAUCUGAUUGCCUCUUUGUUGAAACUUGGAAAAUCUUUUAUCUUUGCGUUAUUGCUUGCCUUCUUUGAGAAAACCAAAAAUUUCAAAAAUAUUUCUGUGUAGUUCUUUACCUUUUAUAUUUCAAGAAAUCCAAAAACAUUUCUCUUCCAUUUUUCUUUUGUUUUCUUUUGAUUGUUCUUUUUGGCUUUUCGUGCUGUUUAUUUUUUUCUUUUGUCUUUGUGUUUAAGUUCCAAAACCCAAAAAUUGCAAAAAGAUUUCUGUUGUGUUUCGAGUGUUUAAAGUGUUCUUUUUGUUCUUUUUUCUUCCUAUUUUUUCUUUUGUAUGUUUGUUUGCUGUUUUCUAGAAACCCCAAAAGAUUUCUUUGUGCUUUUGUUCUUUUGAUGUUCUUGGAGAAAACAACAAAAAUACUUUCUCGCUCGUUUUGCUUUUUCUCUGGAAGUGUAUUUGAUUGCCUCUUUGUUGAAACUUUGAAUAUGUUUUACCUUUGCUUGUCUUUACGUUCUUGUUUGCCUUCUUUAAGAAAAAACAAAAGUUCCAAAAAUAUUUCUGUUGUGUUUCUUUAAGUUCUUCUUUGCCUUUUAUGUUUCCAAAAAUCCAAAAACAUUUCUCUUUCGUUGUUCGUUUGUUUUCCUUGUUUUCUUUUGGUCGUUCUUUUGGCUUUUCUUUGCUAUUUUUCUUUUCAUCAUUUCUUUUGUCUUUGUGUUUAAGUUGCAAAACCCAAAAAUUCGAAAAGAUUUCUCAUUUGCUCUUAUUGAGUGUCAACUGUUUGAGGUGUUCUUUUUGUUUUUUUCUUCCUAUUUUUUCAUUUGGAUGUUUGUUUGUUGUUUGCUUCUAAAAGUAACCCCAAAAGAUUUCUUUGUCCUUUUGUUCUUUCGAAGUUCUUUGAGGAAACAAAAAAAACAUUUCCUCGUUCGUUUUGCCUUUUCUUUGAAAGUUUAUUUGAUUGCCUCUUUGUUGAAACUUUGAAAAUCUUUGAUCUUUGCUUCUUUGUACACUCUUGUUUGUCUUAUUUGAGAAAAAAAAUUCCAAAAAUAUUUCUGUUGUGUUUCUUUAAGUUCUUUUUUGCCUUUUAUGUUUCCAAAAAUCCAAAAAAUAUUUCUCCUCCGGUGUUCUUUUGGUUGUUCUUUUUGGCUUUUCUUUGUUGUUUUCUUUUUGUCGUUUCUUUCGUCUUUGUGUUUAAGUUGCAAAACCCAAGAAUUCCAAAAGAUUUCUCGUCUGCUUCUUAUUGAGUCUCAAGUGUUUGAAGUGUUCUUUUUGUUUUUUUCUUCCUAUUUUUUUCUUUUGUUUGUUUGGUUGUUUGUUGUUUGCUUUUAAAAUAAACCCAAAAAUAUAUCUUUGUCCUUUUGUUCUUUUGAAGUACUUCGAGAAAACAACAAAAAUAUUUCCUCAUUCAUUUUGCUUUUUCUUUGGAAGUUUAUUUGAUUGCCUCUUUUUUGAAACUUUGAAAAUAUUUUAUCUUUGCUUCUCUUUAAGUUCGUUUUCCUUCUUUGAGGAAAAACCAGAACUCCAAAAAAUAUUUCUAUUGUGUUUCUUUAAAGUUUUCUUUGUCUUUUAUGUUUCCGGAAAUCCAAAAAUAUUUCUCUUCCAUUGUUUUGUUUUCUUUUGGUUGUUCCUUUUGGCUUUUCUUUGUUUUCUUUUUGUCGUUUUUUUGUCUUUGUGUUUAAAUUGCAAAAAACCCAAAAAAUCCAAAAAGAUUUCUCCUUUGCUUCUUACUGAGCGUUAAGUGUUUGAAGUGUUCAUUUUGAUUUUUUUUCUUUCCUAUUUUUUUGUUUGUUGUUUGCUUUUAAAGGAAACCCCAAAAGAUUUCUUUGUCCUUUUGUUCUUUUGAAGUUCUUUGAGAAAGUAAAACAAAAUUCUCUCUUUUUCUUUGAAAGUUUAUUUGAUUGCCUCUUUGUUGAAACUUUGAAAAUCCUUUAUAUUUGCUUCUCUCUGCGUUCUUGUUUGCCUUCUUUGAGAAAAAAAACAAAAGUUCUGAAAAUAUUUCUGUUGUGUUUCUUUGAGUUCAUCUUUGCCUUUUAUGUUUCAAAAAUCUGAAAAUAUUUCUCUUUCCGUUGUUCUUUUGUUCUCUUUUGGUUGUUCUUUUUUUUUUCUUUGUUGUUUUCUUUUUAUCGUUUCUUUCGUCUUUGUGUUUAAGUUGCAAAACCCAAAAUUUAAAAAAAGAUUUCAUGUUUGCGUCUUAUUUAGUUGAACUGUUGUUUGGAUCACUCAUCGAACUUCCUCACUGUUUGGAUGUUAAUCCCCUCUUGAUUAUUUCUUUGUUUUUAUCAAAUUUUAGUCCUUGAUGAUUCUCACUUGGAUUAUUUGAGGUUCUCUAGAGACUAAGAUUAUCACAUAUGUUUAAGCAUUAGCAACUUAUCUGUUUAUCAAUCUUCAUUUGUAUGAUCUCUCCUUCUAUUUAGUUUCUUCUUCAUGUACGUUUUCAACAAUUCUGGUUUGCAUUUGUGUCCUUUUGCCUAGAAAUUUGGAUUAUACAUCUUAACGGGAGCGUCUUCAUGAUGAGUUAGGAUUAUAGUUAUCCUAUUUCAUUUCUUUGUCUUCAGGGUUUAACUUUGUCAUGAAUUCUAAUUUGGAUUUGUUGGUGUUCUUUGAAAAUUGGAAUUAUAAGGGUUGGUAGACUUCGAUGAUCUCGUUUUGGUAUGUAUGUAUGUUUUCUUUGGAUGCCACAGAAACGGAGGGUAGUAGUCACGUAGAGAUGAACCAAUGGUUGGAGAGGUUUUGUUUUUGUUAAUGGCUAGUUUGACUUUGAUGAUCUCAUUUUGGUAUGUAUGUCAUCUUUGGAUGCCAGAGAAACGGAGGGUAGUAGUUCCGUAGAGAUGAAUCAAUGGCUGGAGUGGUUUUAUUUUUGUUAAUGGCUAAAAUUUGAUUUGUCAUGGUUCAACGUUUUUUUUAUUUGGUCAGAUCUUGGAUGAUGUUUUGGUGUUGAACUAGUUUGAUUAUUUGGAUUAUAAUCCCUUUUGAUUACUUGUUUGCAUAGUAUAAUUUAGUCCCUUAUGAUUCUUACUUGGAUUAUUGGUGGUUCUAAAUACGGCUUGGCGGGAGCAACUUAUUUGUUAAUCUAUUUUGGAUGAACUAAUGUUUAUUUAAUUUGUUCUCAGCUUUCACCUUGUAUGUAUCCCUUGCAUAUGUAGGGUUGGGUACUCUCCGAUAUGCAUAGAGAUCAGGUUCUUCAAGGCCAUCAUCAUAUUCUUCACCUUCUAAAGAUUCAUCUUCCUCCUUGUUGCCGCCAUCGUCAUUUUCCUCCUCUUCAGGCGGUGCGGCGGUCUUCCCCUUGGUAGGAGCGCGGCGAGCCGCAGUCACCUUCACUAGCUCUAGCUCGAGCAGUGCUGCCAUCGCUGGGCUCAGAGCUUGCCCAAGCAGCAAAGGUAUGGAUAGGAAGGCGGCGAAAGCCGCGAACUACUGCAAACAUCAACAAGUCAAGGCAGGAUGAAGAAGAGAAGAAAAGCCACUAUGAAUCUUAAGGCCACACGGCCCCGGGCUCGAGAACACUUACGUCACUUGAGGGUUGGCAGCGCUAAAAGGCUCCAUUGCGACAGUGAGCGGAAUUUUGUUUGACCCUAGAUCUUUUAGGGUGUCGAUGCGGGCUCGCAGCUCGUCGUUGCCGAGGUCUUGUGCCGUUGCCUGAGUCGGAUUUUAAGGCCCCAUGUAAAGAUACAUGGGGUGAGUCCGAGUGGCUGGACUCGCCGCUCGAGAUACGUCUCCAAGACUUGCUCCUCGGUUAGCCCGCGGUCGAUCAGGCUCUCCACCGCGUUGUUCAGCCCCCGGGCAUUGCUGGAUGUCUUCUUCAUCGGCUUCCAAGAUCUCUCAGAUGCUUGGGUGGCUCAUUGAUGAAAGGCAGCAGAUCUCCCGCGAGCCCCGAAGCAUAGAACCCUUAUGCCAGUUGUAGACUGACUUUGCCAAAGCAAUCUUGAAGUAGUUCGAUUCAAGCUGGAGCUGGAGGUUUGGCGCCUUCACCAGGUCGCGGAUAUCAUCGCCAUUCCUCUAGACCUUCACCAGGAAGUAGUAUCAAAAUAACUCGAAGUUUGGGUUCGUCCCGAGGAAGCAUUCGCAAAGGGUGAUGAAGUUGGCGAUUGGAGAAUGGUGUUGGGUGUCAAAUGAUGCAACUGACACCCGUAGGAGAACAGAAGCCCGCACACAAAGCUGUGCAGCGGGAAAGCCAAACCUCGACAAAAGAACUGCUAGUGCAACACUCGCUUGUGCCGACCGGUGCCAGGAUGGCCUCGGCCCCCGCCGUCCUCCAUUGAAGUACCUCCCAAGGCAGCUGAAAGUCGUCUUGAACCAACGCAGUGGAGAAGAACCACUUGUCUGUGGUCUCGCCCGCCUCCUCGUUGGCGGAAGCGUUGUCCUUCCACUCGUCAGCGGUGGUGGCCUUCGGAACGCUCCGGCCACGACCUCGACCGCGGUCUCCCUCGACUCGCACCAUCAGCGGCUCGCUUGGGUGGAGAAGGAAAGAAAGGGAGGGCUCGAGGAGCAAGAGCUUGCGACAAUGGCGGUUCCGACGGGGGAGGGAGAAGCAGUAGCGGAAUCUACGAGAUGAACAGAGGAAGUGGGGAAAUCUCUCUCUCCCCCCUCUUUGUAUCCCACCGGGAAACCCAAGCAACGGCUUUGGUAGGUCGACAAGUGCCCCAUUUCCUUUGCGGUUUUCCACUACGCAGGAUGUGGGCGCGGAGAUCCAGGCAUUAUCAUCAUGAUACAACGGCCAGAGCGGAACCGACUGGCCAUCUCCCUAUCUUUACGACAGUGAUGACGGGAUGUGACAAAGCGAGUGGCAGCGACGCCUAGGUUCCUAUGGCUAGCAAUAAAUGAUUUGAAGAAGACUGGACACUGGAGGCCGCGCAACCAUGAAGCUGUGAAGACGCGACCCCGGAGGCCGUGCAACCGUGAAGCCGCAAAUUGCAAAGACGCAGACCGUGAAGCCAUGAAGGUGAAAGAUGUAAAACCGCUAGAUCGCGGCACCACAAAAUCAGGAGCUACGAAGCCAUAGAGAUGCGUCGCAGGAGGCCGCGUGAUACGUAGAUUUUGAGGUCGGGCUACCGGGAGAUAGGCUGUCUCCAUCACUAAGAAAGAGCCUGCCUGGAUUUCGUUCUCAAGGCAGCAAGACUCCACAACUCCAGACAAGCUCGGGCGCUACCGACGGUACAAUAUACCGAGGGUGGACCGUCCGCCGGGAAGCUCGAGACUUGGCUGGCUUCAGGGCCCAAGAGGCCUAGCGGCAGCCUUACCCAGCGAUCGGUCCAGGGGUCCAGGCUUGCAGAUAAAAUUUAUCCUUGGCGUGCAAGCCAAGAAGCUCUCACAGUGAGGUCGCUUAGGAUCCCUAGCAACCCUAGCUCUCAUCCCCUUUAUAAGGCGAGGCUAGGGGUUGUUCGAGGCAUCUGUUCCAUUGCCCAGACCUCGGUAGCAUUCAUUAUCCUCCACUUGUAACUCCCUCGCAUGAGGUGCUCCCACAUCAAUCCAAAACAAAGCAGGAGUAGGGUAUUACCUCGAUCAUGAGGCCCCAAACCUGGGUAAAAACCGCGUGUGAACUCCCUUUACUUCCGACUACGGUCUCCACCCUAACGGGGGCACUGACGGUUUUCUGCACCAUCACUGGUACUCUGGUAGUGAGUUGGAAUCUGUUUAAAUCGUUUGGUUAGCAAUCUAUCUCUCGAGGUUCGGUCCAUUAUAUAUUUAUAUGUACCCUUGAUCCCCGUGUUCGUCUUCUGCGCCUGUCGGUUGCAUGAUAUAUUUAGGAAGUUAGAGUUAUGGAUACAAACCUUGGAAUGCUUAGUAGAACUAAAACCGAGUACAUAAUGUGCGGUUUCAGUACUACUAGGUGUGAGGAGGAGGAGGUUAGCCUUGAUGGGCAGGUGGUGCCUCAGAAGGACUUUCGAUAUUUGAGGUCAAUGCUACAGGAGGAUGGGGGUAUUGAUGAAGAUGUGAACCAUCGAAUCAAAGCCGGAUGGAUGAAGUGGCGCCAAGCUUUUGGCAUUCUCUAUGACAAGAGAGUGCCACAAAAGCUAAAAGGCAAGUUCUACAAGACGGCGGUUCGACCCACAAUGUUGUAUGGCGUUGAGUGUUGGCCGACUAAAAGGCGACAUGUUCAACAGUUAGGUGUGAGGGAAAUGCGUAUGUUGAGAUGGAUGUGUGGCCACAUGAGGAAGGAUCUAGUCCGGAAUGAUGAUAUACGAGAUAGAGUUGGGGUAGCACCUAUUGAAGAGAAGCUUGUCCAACAUCGUCUGAGAUGGUUUGGGCGUAUUCAGCGCAGGCCUCUAGAAGCUCCAGUGCAUAGCGGUCGGUUAAAGCGUGCGCAGAAUGUCAAAAGAGGUCGGGGUAGACCGAAUUUGACAUGGGAGGAGUUCGUUAAGAGAGACCUGAAGGAUUGGAGUAUCACUAAAGAACUAGCUAUGGACAGGGGUGCGUGGAAGCUUGCUAUCCAUGUGCCAGAGCCAUGAGUUGGUUGCGAAAUCUUGUGGGUUUCACAUCUAGCCUACCCCAACUUGUUUGGGACUAAAGGCUUUGUUGUUGUUGUUGUUGUUGUUGUUGUUGGUCUCGUGGGCAAAACUUUGCUCCGUAACUGAGUCAGGUCAGUGCCUUUUCGAUGGUUUGUUCGAUUCAUUUGUGUUGGCCUCCAUGCGUUGGUUGCAAGACUGAAUCGGGUAUGUGGAGAUCAUGUCCAAGGGGGUUUGAGGAAGGUCUGAUUUGAAGGGCCAUCGCCCUGUGGUCUUCUGUUCAUGAGUUCCAUCAUUCAUCAUUUAAUAGGAGGUGGAUUCAGUGUCCUGAUUGAUUCUUAUUGUAGCAGUUGAUCUUGCUUUUGGUAUGUGUGUAUGUUCUCCUUUACUUGCAGCAGAAGCAGGAGGGUAGUAGUUCUGCAGAGAUGAAUCAAAGGCUGGCGAGGGAAAACACACAACGUGGAAUCAGACAUUAUUUUUCUCAAAGCAUUGAUACACUUUUGCUCUGAGCUGUUGCAAGAAUUAACUGCUCUGAGCGAUCUUCUGCUCCUUGAGGUACCCUGCAAAUUUCUCAGCAGUUGCAGCCAGAGGUCCGGUGCUGACCAUAGCUUCAAGCCCGGGGCCAGGGAUCCCUAGCAAAAGCAGCAAACCGUUACUCGGUCAGUAUACACGUGGAGGACUUCAGGAUUGAAGGGUGGUUUCUGGAUAUCUCACCUGGAGCGAAUGUGAGCUCCAAGAUGGUGCCGACGUCGCCGUCGCCGCUCACGAGCUGUAUCUUGGCGAGCACCUGCGGGAGAAGCUCGGGCAGCAGCUCCGCUGCACGGAGCGUGCCAUAGAGCCCCCAUAGGUCGGCGGCGGGCACAUCGGCCUCGAACUCGUGAACCUUGUUCUUCCUCAUCGCCAUGGACUUAAUGGACUGUGAGAAGGGAAGUGUCUGUGAACCAACAAGAACAAGCUGAAGCAGUUCAGUGUGUGUGACUGUGCGUACAACUGAUUAACUGUAUAUAUAGGCAAGUCGGGUAUGAGUUAUGACAAGUGAACACGGCUUAAAGUCUUCGCUCGGAAUCUCGAAGGUUGAGAUGCCACGGUGACAACGAGGGGCGCUCUUUUGGCUGGAGUUAUCCUGGCAUUGUUUUGCCUGAAGUUAAAUAUUGGGUGGUUUCCCUUGGAGGCAAAUAAAGUAUUUGCGUGGUUUGCAGGCCUGAAGUUUACUAUAUUAUAUUAUGCAUUUUGGCCUGCCAGGACCAGUGGACAAAGCGAUUCUCUUCCUGUAAGCCCCUUUUUUAUUCUUUCUUAUUUUGGAGAACUGAUUCCCAUGUAAGCACUUGGUUCUUGCCAACAUGUCUGAUUUAUUAUC